UGAGGCAAAAAGACUAGAUAACCAAUAGGAAAACCUCAAAGCCGGCGCUAUUCUCACUGGCGCCGGCUUUUAA